GGAAGUUUGGCAGGUUGGAGUUCACGUGCAACUUCAGCACCACUAUAUUAAAGUUCAUUCAGAAGGAAGUUUUCUGUCAAUAAGUGCUCGUGGUUUAUAAGUGACAGUUGGUUUGAGAUGUCAGGGGAGGAUGUAAACAGGUGGGUCACAACAAUGCUUCUUCCAGCCUGUACUGGUUGUGUCGGCUUGUUUUAACACAGCUUCAUACGCUAACAUUUUCAGUGGACACUUUGGGAGGAUGCUGUUACCCUCCUGGAGGACUCGGGACAACACUGAGGUCCUUGUCCUGUGACAGCAAGCCUUCUUGAUGUUAGGUAGCAGGUUCUUAUUUUAUAUUCACCCCAGAACACUAUCGCUGAAAAUAGUAACACCAUCACUAUCGCCGGGUGAUUUUUACCCGAAAUAAUAAACCCAAGAAAAAGUACUUGUCAUCAAAAUAUAUCAAAAUAGGAUACAACAAAUUAAAGGAGUUUUCUUUUAUUUUUCACCAUAUGAAUUCCCUUGAAAAUCACUACUUUGUGAUAGCUAUUCCUAACCACUGCACUAAAUAAAGAUAGCAUGCAAAUUCCAGGACCACUCUUACUGACCUUAUUCCCUACAUAUGCAGCUAUCAAAUCCAGCCAAACCUACUUUACCUUCUAUCUCUAUAAACACGUGCCUGUAGGAAAAAGCAGGUUUUGCAUCAGGGAAAUAAAUAUGCCUUCAAAGAUGUCAAAGGUAAUGCUGAAGCUACCCAGGGACACAUGAUACUCAGACAAACGCAACAUAAUGAAAAUCACAUAAACAUGUUUGGUCGUGUGAAAAUCACCCGACCAAACAGAUUAACGACAGCACAAUAAAAUUAUGCACAGACAAAAUAGUAUUGAUUUUUGACUGCAGCAGCCUUGGCAAUGAUAUUCAGUUCAUUUACAUGUUGUACAAAGAUAUCGAUGUAUUGCCAGCUCUGUCCCACUGAAACUGGACUUUGGAAAAAUAUGACCUACUGACUGAUUAUCAUACCGUAAAUACAGACUUAUCAGUGUUGCAUGCAUGGUGCAUCAAUUUGAUGUUUUUAAAAGGUUAAAACCAUAAAGGAUUAGUGUUAGUGGUACUUUGGGCUUGGAGCUUGAAAAUAGUCCAGCUCCGGUCAAACCAGGACAUAUAACGAUAAAGUGGUGUUAAAAUUGAACUCAAAGCAGCACUGUUCCAAGGCUGAGAGAGCUACUAUCAUUGUUGGAGUCUUGUGAAAAUCUAUACAGUUUUUUUUCCUCCUCUUAGUUUUUUUUUUUUUAAAGCAUAAAAAGAAGAGUUUCCCUGGAGUGUAUUCAUUGGCUGGCUUUGAAAGAAACAACACUACACCGCCCUCCCUGCAGUUAAAAACAACUUAGUGUCUGACUCAAUGUUUCACCAAAAUGUGAGGAUCAACCUUGGGUCAUGAGCCAGAGGUCAGCACACUCCAAAAGAAGAGAAAACUCUGCCAGCGGUCUAAAUCCACCGGUGGUGUUUCAUGCUUUUAUAGUUCUUUGUUUCCUUCUUUUACAGCCUUGAGAGCCGGGCCUUGACACGACAGCCCCACC
rnacentral:lncRNA from 1 species